rnacentral:rRNA from 1 species
UGAACGCUGGCGGCGUGCUUACCACAUGCACGUCGAACGAGAAGUGGAGACGGAAACCUUCGGGCGGAAGACUUUAUUUCGAGUGGCGGACGGGUGAGUAACGCGUGGGUAACCUGCCUCAUACAGGGGGAUAACAGUUGGAAACGACUGUUAAUACCGCAUAAGACCACAGCACCGCAUGGUGCGGGGGUAAAAACUCCGGUGGUAUGAGAUGGACCCGCGUUCGAUUAGCCAGUUGGCGGGGUAACGGCCCACCAAAGCGACGAUCGAUAGCCGAUCUGAGAGGAUGACCGGCCACAUUGGGACUGAGACACGGCCCAAACUCCUACGGGAGGCAGCAGUGGGGAAUAUUGCACAAUGGGGGAAACCCUGAUGCAGCGACGCCGCGUGAGUGAAGAAGUAUUUCGGUAUGUAAAGCUCUAUCAGCAGGGAAGAAAAUGACGGUACCUGAGUAAGAAGCCCCGGCUAACUACGUG